rnacentral:rRNA from 1 species
UACGAAGGGGGCUAGCGUUGCUCGGAUUGACUGGGCGUAAAGGGCGCGUAGGCGGUUCGUACAGUCAGACGUGAAAUUCCUGGGCUCAACCUGGGGGCUGCGUUUGAUACGUGCGGACUUGAGUGCGGGAGAGGAUGGUGGAAUUCCCAGUGUAGAGGUGAAAUUCGUAGAUAUUGGGAAGAACACCGGUGGCGAAGGCGGCCAUCUGGACCGCAACUGACGCUGAGGCGCGAAAGCGUGGGGAGCAAACAGG